GCUGUAUUAAUGGCCGAUUUCUCUUUCAAGGCCCUUGGAUCAGGAUAUUAAGGAGAAAAAAAUGGUGAACCUAGCCAACAUUCCAUCCUUCCAAUCAUCAGAGAUUAGAUAGCUCAGAUGGUUCAAGUCUCUACCAAUGAAAUCAAACUCUGGAGUUUACACCUCACUCCAAGCAUUUCUCUUUGUGCAGAAGAAAAUUGUACCAAACUCAAGGCCACCCCAGGAUGGUUGAUGCGAACAUGCAAAAUUCUACCUUCUUCCAGGCCCUUGCAAAUGCUGUUUCUUCUGCAGAAACUAUCUCCUGCCUUCCAAUUCCAGACAUGAUACCCUGUCAGUCAGUUGCCCUGCAAGACUCAACAAAAGGGUUUCCUCCCUGUAAAUGUUUUUAUGUCUCCACUCAGGAAAGAACAUCCUCUCCCUCACUUCUCUACAUUGUAUUCUAUAUGGACCACCUCAGUGAUAGCUCCGUGAGCCCUACAGAGAAAGUCAGCUACAGUGAAUAAAUAAGGCUUGGGUAACUAUUAGGGACUUUUAAGACAAAAUAUGCAUUUGACAAUGAAUUAAUUAACAUUAUGUAACACUUGAUUCAAUUGCAUUGUUUUGCAUGUAGCAUAUAUCAACCUCCCUGUAUUGCAGUGAGUCAUUCCAGAUGUAGGGAACACAUGUACUCAUCCCAUCCUUGAAUCCCACGUUCUUCCAUAAUAAGUGUUUAUUAGUAGAUGUGUGUUACAUGAAUA
rnacentral:lncRNA from 1 species